GAUUUAUGCUUCGUAGUGACCUGCGGAGGUCAUUAUUGAAUAAACUUGCACAGGCUGUUGCUGGCCUUCUUUCGGGAGGGUAUGUGCACGCUUGUCAUCUUUAUCUCUCCAACUGUGCACAUAUUGUAGACCUGGAGCUCUUGUUGAUUCAUUUCGAGUUGGGACUGCUGUGCUUCGUAAAUCAGAGUCGGCUUUCCCUUUUCAUUUCCAGGUCUAUGUCAUUUUCACAAACUCUUGAAUGCGUUUAGAAUGUUGAAUACAGGUGCUUUUGUACCUAUAAAGUUAAAUAUACAACUUUCAGCAACGGAUCUCUUGGCUCUCGCAUCGAUGAAGAACGCAGCGAAAUGCGAUAAGUAAUGUGAAUUGCAGAAUUCAGUGAAUCAUCGAAUCUUUGAACGCAUCUUGCGCUCCUUGGUAUUCCGAGGAGCAUGCCUGUUUGAGUGUCAUUUAUGUUCUCAACCACAUCAAUUCUUUUGGUGAGGCUUGGACGUGGGGGUAUUUUUUUGCGGGCUUCUCUAAAUUUGAAGUCGGCUCCCCUGAAAUGCAUUAGUGGUAUCUGAGCAGAAGAAACUACUACAGGUGUGAUAAUUAUCUACGCCUCAGUAGGCUGCAUAAUCAGACUGCACUGCUUCUAACGAGUUGGGAGAUCCCUUUUGGGGACAUCACCCACAUUUGAUGAAUUUGACCUCAAAUCAGGUAGGACUACCCGCUGAACUUAAGCAUAUCAAUAAGCCGGAGAAAA
rnacentral:rRNA from 1 species